AUCGCUUCUCGGCCUUUUGGCUAAGAUCAAGUGAAGUUUGACAAGUCUAAUUUGAUUUUUUUUCUGAAACAUUCAAGGGCCUUAACAAUAAUAAAUGCAUCUUUUUUUCUUUCUUUGUGAACCAAA
ensembl:snRNA U2 U2 spliceosomal RNA